GGCGCCGCUGCCAAGUCCCCGCUCCGCUUUUGUCUUGCCCUCCAGUGAAUGGGAAGAUGGAGAUGGAUGUUGAGGGAGUUUCUCCGCGCCCGGAGCCCAUCCCCCGCUCCCAGGGGGCUGGCGGAGCCUGCCAGGCGCCGCCACAGCCGCCCCAGCCCCAGCCCCAGCCCCAGCCCCAGCCCCAGCCGCCGCCGCCGCCGCCGCCGCCGCCGCCGGCUCAGGAUGAAGUGCCCGGCGGGAGUGCGGGCGCGGAGGACAGCGACGAUCCCGACGCGAGACCCGGCAGCGCGAGAGGCGAGAGCAAGAGAUAUCAUGGACUGAAAGGUGAUGGGUACCCCAAUGAGUUCACUACAAGAUCUCAAAGAUUCCAAGCCAUUGGCUGCUCCAAAGCAUAAAGCCACCCUUCUGGAGAGGCGGCAGGAAGGAAGCCUGGAGGAGGCUCCGCUGUUGGCCAGAGGAAGACCACCUUCUCAGGUGUCUGGGGGAACCGCUGAAGGACAGUGAGGGAGAUGUCGCUGGUCCCCAGGACAGAAACACAGCAGCUGGAACCAAGAAGCACUCAGAGUGGGACUCGAGCCCAGCACCCCUUCAGACUGAAGCUCUCUGAGAUACAUGUGCUUCCUGAUUGGACUGUUUUUGCUUUUCCAUCACCUGCAUAACACAGUUCUGGAUACUUUGGAAUGGUUGGCUUUCUUUCCUUUUUUAUCCUUCCCCCACCUCUACCCCCACCCCUGUCUUGUCUUUUUCUUCUCUUGGCCCUGAGAACUGUAAGAAGAGAAUUGCUUUGGAAAGUAUAAUUCUGUUGCUGAAAUUUGCCUUGUUUAUGAACAAAUUCUUUCCCUGAGGAUUUUCUGAAUUGCAAUCCCAGGUUACUUGGUAAAUGGGGCUGCAUGAUUUGAUUUGUGUAGUACUGAUCCUUAGAUUAAAAAUACAUUUUCUUUCUUUCUUUUUUCCCCCCAAGUUUUGGAUCCAGGUAAUGGCCCGAGUCACAUUUGCUUAGCUACUGAAGCGAUCUCAAUGUGGUAUCGCUUGGAGUUGAAACAUAAUCAAACAUACAUUAUACCUGGGGCUCUUGCAUGCUAUUUGAUAUAUAUGUUACACUACAAAGAAACACAAACCUUGUAGGUUGAAAUUUAAUUCCUGUCUGAUCCUAUAGUUAGAAUGGUGAGAAAUCACAAAAUAUCAAAAGUGGCUUCAAAUACCCUGAAUGUAAGCUAACCAACAAUAAAUGGACAGUUUGGAAAUGCCA
rnacentral:lncRNA from 1 species